CCUACGGGAGGCAGCAGUAGGGAAUUUUCCGCAAUGGGCGAAAGCCUGACGGAGCAAUACCGCGUGAGGGAUGACGGCCUGUGGGUUGUAAACCUCUUUUCUCAAGGAAGAAGUUCUGACGGUACUUGAGGAAUAAGCAUCGGCUAACUCUGUGCCAGCAGCCGCGGUAAUACAGAGGAUGCAAGCGUUAUCCGGAAUCACUGGGCAUAAAGCGUCUGUAGGUUGUUUAGUAAGUCUGCUGUUAAAGACUGGGGCUUAACCCCAGAAAAGCAGUGGAAACUGCUAGACUCGAGUGUGGUAGAGGUAGAGGGAAUUCCUAGUGUAGCGGUGAAAUGCGUAGAUAUUAGGAAGAACACCAAUGGCGAAGGCACUCUACUGGGCCAUAACUGACACUGAGAGACGACAGCUAGGGGAGCAAACGGGGAUUAGAUACCCCGGUAGUCCUAGCCGUAAACGAUGGACUACUAGAUGUUGUCGACGUACGUUAACCGUUACGUCGACGUAUACGUAGUACGUAACGGUACGGUUAACGUUACGUACCGUCCGUCGGUAACGGUAACGUACGUCGCGACGAGUAGAAACGUAACGAAGGAAAGUUAGACGGCGUGAGACGUGCCGACGGACGACGACGAGGGAGGUAGG
rnacentral:rRNA from 1 species